CAGCAGCCGCGGUAAUACGAAGGGUGCAAGCGUUAAUCGGAAUUACUGGGCGUAAAGCGUGCGUAGGCGGUUUGUUAAGUCUGUUGUGAAAUCCCCGGGCUCAACCUGGGAAUGGCAAUGGAUACUGGCAAGCUAGAGUGUGUCAGAGGAUGGUGGAAUUCCCGGUGUAGCGGUGAAAUGCGUAGAGAUCGGGAGGAACAUCAGUGGCGAAGGCGACCAUCUGGGACAACACUGACGCUGAGGCACGAAAGCGUGGGGAGCAAACAGGAUUAGAUACCCCCGUAGUCCCUGUCUCUUAUAC
rnacentral:rRNA from 1 species